UACGGAGGGGGUUAGCGUUGUUCGGAAUUACUGGGCGUAAAGCGCGCGUAGGCGGAUUGGAAAGUUGGGGGUGAAAUCCCGGGGCUCAACCCCGGAACUGCCUCCAAAACUAUCAGUCUAGAGUUCGAGAGAGGUGAGUGGAAUUCCAAGUGUAGAGGUGAAAUUCGUAGAUAUUUGGAGGAACACCAGUGGCGAAGGCGGCUCACUGGCUCGAUACUGACGCUGAGGUGCGAAAGUGU
rnacentral:rRNA from 1 species